CAUUUAUUGUAGGACAGUAGGGGUAUAUAUACACAACUAAUUACACACAGCUUAUCUUAAUUAACAAACUAGAUAUAGCAGUCAACCAAUAAGGAAUCAUCAUCUUAAUGAUUACACACAGCUUAACUUAAUUGACAUGAUCUAGACACAGCAGUCACUCAUUAAGGAAUCUCUAUCAUCUUAAUGGCUCGCUGGCGUUACUUCUCAAGCCACUCCCUCUGGCAAAAUGCCAGGCGUCAUCUUGACUUGUUUAAGGACCCUAACACACGGUGGCUCUUAUCCUGCAUCACUGUGGUUAGGCUCACCCACGUUUCCCCACAUCCCUGCCCUGAAUGUUUCCCGGUGAGGAUUGGCUCAAGUGCCUUUGGUGGAGGUUUUAGAGGGUGGAGGAGAAGCAGCCACCAUUUUGUAGCCUCCCCCACGUGUGGCCUUUCUGCCGGCUCCCCUUGGCCUGAAGCAGGAGACAGGUCUGCAGACCCUCCAUGUUCCCCGGGACUCCCUCCAGCUCCUCCGACUCCUGGGCCAGGUGUGUGUGUUCAGCUCUGGGCAGAGCCCCUUGAAUUCCUCCAGACACCCACGCCACUCAUUACCAGAGGCAGCAGCGACGGUGCCGUCACCAAUGACCACAGACAAGGUGGCUUAAAUAAUAGAAAUUCACUUCUCACAGUUCUGGAGGCUGAGAUCAGGGUGCUGGGAUGGUAGGGCUCUGGUGAGGACCCUCUCCCAGCUUCGCAGAUGGCUGAGUCCUCACCGGGUGGAGAUCAGAGAGAGGAAACAAGCUCUUUUAAGAAAAAAGUCACUAGCUGGGCACAGUGGUGCACGACUUCAGUCCCAGUGACUCAGGAGGCUGAGGUGGGAGGAUCGAGAGUUCAAAGCCAGCCUCUUCAAUGGCGAGGUGCUAAGCAACUCAGUGAGACCCUGUCUCUGAAUAAAAUACAAAAUAGGGCUGGGGAGGUGUCUCAGGAGUUGAGUGCCCUGAGUUCAAUCCCAGGUACCAAAAUUUUAAAAAUAAAUAAAUAAAUAGAGUCACUAGUCCCAUCACGAGGACUCCACCCUAUGACCUAAUCUCCUCCCUGAUGAGUUAUCAUCUCCAGGUACCUGCCCACUGGGGUUUAUGGUUUCAACCUAGAAGUCAAAUAUCCUUUAUCCCAAAGGGUUUCCAAUUUGGGAUUUUUGAAAUUUUAAUUUGGGGAUGGGACCCAAGUCUAAACCCCAAAUUCACUUAUGUUCUCUCUGCACUUUGU
rnacentral:lncRNA from 1 species